UCCACGCAGUAAACGAUGAAUGUUAGUCGUCGGGUAGCUAGUCUAUUCGGUGAUGCAGCUAACGCAUUAAACAUUCCGCCUGGGGAGUACGGUCGCAAGAUUAAAACUCAAAGGAAUAGACGGGGACCCGCACAAGUGGUGGAGCAUGUGGUUUAAUUCGAAGAUACGCGAAGAACCUUACCUAGCCUUGACAUAUAUUAGAACAGACCAGAGAUGGACUGGUGCCUUCGGGG
rnacentral:rRNA from 1 species